AUGCCAUGGCCGGCCUUCCUGGUGGUGGCCGCGAAGCUCAUCGUCCUUGCGGCGGCCGCCGCGACGGCGGCAAACGCGGCCUCCUACGCGCGGUUCCGGAGGCGCCACCUCCGCCGCAUCCGCAGCCCCAUCGACGAGUCGGCCGACCCCGUCGCCGAUUUCCGCUCCCUGCCCUCCUCCGCUGCCGCAGCAGAGGAUGAUGAUUUUUUCUUCGGGUUAGCGACGGCGCCUGCGCAUGUUGAAGACAGGCUGGACGAUGCUUGGCUUCAGUUUGCGACAGAACAAUCCGUUGAUGACAAGGAGUCCAUGCGCAACCAGAAACAAGUCGAUGCAGUGAUGGCCUCUGCUGGUGGUGAUGGAGGCUCUCAGCCAUCUUCUAGGCUAAGAGGGGACGAAAAGGGUACCGAUGGAGAGAAAAGGAAGCCUCUUAGGGUAGCCAUGGAGGCUAUGCUCAGAGGAUUUGAAAAGUUUUCUGAGGGUGAAGAAUCUAGUGGUGGAGAUAACUGCAGCCACAAUGUUGCUGCUUGGCACAAUGUUCCAUGCCCGCAAGAGAGGCUUAAAUUUUGGUCCGAUCCUGAUACUGAGUUGAAACUUGCUAAGGAAACCGGCAUUAGUGUUUUCCGCAUGGGCGUAGACUGGACAAGAAUAAUGCCUAAGGAACCAACUGAAGAUUUCAAGAGCUCGCACUUGAGCGGUAUAGAUGGAUCAUUCAAAGAGUUCAUGAGCAUGGGAUGA
rnacentral:rRNA from 1 species